rnacentral:rRNA from 1 species
UAGGGAAUCUUCGGCAAUGGGGGCAACCCUGACCGAGCAACGCCGCGUGAGUGAAGAAGGUUUUCGGAUCGUAAAGCUCUGUUGUAAGAGAAGAACGAGUGUGAGAGUGGAAAGUUCACACUGUGACGGUAACUUACCAGAAAGGGACGGCUAACUACGUGCCAGCAGCCGCGGUAAUACGUAGGUCCCGAGCGUUAUCCGGAUUUAUUGGGCGUAAAGCGAGCGCAGGCGGUUAGAUAAGUCUGAAGUUAAAGGCUGUGGCUUAACCAUAGUACGCUUUGGAAACUGUUUAACUUGAGUGCAGAAGGGGAGAGUGGAAUUCCAUGUGUAGCGGUGAAAUGCGUAGAUAUAUGGAGGAACACCGGUGGCGAAAGCGGCUCUCUGGUCUGUAACUGACGCUGAGGCUCGAAAGCGUGGGGAGCAAACAGGAUUAGAUACCCUGGUAGUCCACGCCGUAAACGAUGAGUGCUAGGUGUUGGGUCCUUUCCGGGACUCAGUGCCGCAGCUAACGCAUUAAGCACUCCGCCUGGGGAGUACGACCGGAAGGUUG